AUUGAACGCUGGCGGCAGGCCUAACACCUGCAAGUCGAGCGAGCGGCGGACGUGUGAGUAAUGUAUGGGGACUGCCCGAUAGAGGGGGAUAACUACUUGAAACGGUGGCUAAUACCGCAUACUAUCGGAUAACCCAUAUGGGAUUAGCUAGUAGGUGGGGGAAAGGCUCACCUAGGAGACGAUCGCUAGCUGGUCUGAGAGGAUGAUCAGCCACACUGGGAGUGAGACACGUCCCAGACUCCUACGGAGGCAGCAGUGGGGAAUAUUGCACAAUGGGCGAAAGCCUGAUGCAGCCAGGCCGCGUGUAUGAAGAAGGCCUUAGGGUUGUAAAGUACUUUCAGCGGGGAGGCGUUACCCGCAGAAGAAGCACCGGCUAACUCCGUGCCAGCAGCCGCGGUAAUUC
rnacentral:rRNA from 1 species